GCCGCUGUGGUGGAAUUGGCAGACACGCAGCACUCAAAAUGCUGUGGAGGCAACUCCGUGUCGGUUCGACUCCGACCAGCGGCA
rnacentral:tRNA from 1 species